CUAGGGGAUUGGUUCACUCGCCUAGACCUAAAGGACGCAUAUCUAUCCGUUCUGGUGGAAUCCGGUUGCCGGCGAUUUCCAUGCUUCGUUGGAAAGGGAGGCCAUGUCAAUUCACCUGCCUCCCCUUCGGCCUCAGCUCGGCACCAUGGUGCUUCACCAAACUGUUAAAACCGGUAACGGCAUGCCUGCGCUCCAGAGGUAUUCGAUGCCUGAUAUAUCUGGACGAUUUACUUCUUUUCUGCGAUGACUCCUCCAGGCUGAAAUCUCAGACGAUCUACACGGUCUCCUUGUUCAAAUCCCUGGGGUUUGUGGUCAACCAAGAGAAGUUGGCCCUCACGCCGACGCAAGUAGUUCAGUUUUUGGGAUUCAAAAUAGAUGCGACUCAGUGCAUCCUACGCCUCCCUCAGACCUAAAUCAUGGCCAUUUGGAAAGAGAUCCAAUGGAUCCUGCGCCAAGAAAUUAUCCCACUCAGGGUCUUGGCACGAGUGGUGGGCCUCUUGUCCGCAUCGAUCCGAGCCAUCUACCCAGGUCCCCUUCACUACAGGGCCAUGCAGCGCCUUAAAGCGCGCUUCCUACGCCAGAAACCCUCAUACGACCAACUGAAUCCCAUCACGCAGGAAGUCAAGACCGAACUUCACUGGUGGCUGUUACACAUGUCAGCCUGGAACGGCAAGGCGCUUUUAGGACCGACUCCAGAUUUUGUCCUAGAAUUGGAUGCGAGCCUAUGGGGAUGGGGGGUGACCUGCACAACCACCUCCUCGGGAGGCCCCUGGUCAAGCACGUAGGCAUGAUAUCACAUCAAUUGCCUGGAAAUGAUUGCAGGCUCAUUCGCUAUAUGCAGCCUUGCAGGUCAUCUGUCAGAUUGCUGCAUCCUGCUGAGAAUGGACAAUGUAUCGGCGGUGCACUAUUUCAACCGCCUGGGAGGGCCCGCUCACGGGCACUGACGGAAAUCACGAAGGAGAUUUACAACUUUUGCCUUCAGCGCAAUAUCACUCUCCAGGCGGAGUAUCUUCCAGGGGGGCCCAAGGGGCCCAUUCACAGUGGAUCUGUUCGCUUCCAGAAUGAAUUUACCGAAUUACUUCAGCUGGCUCCCAGAUCCGACGUGCGCAGCAGUGGAUGCUUUCCUUCAGGACUGGCCGUCACAGGGAGCCUAUGCAUUUCCACCGUUCACUAUGAUCUCCAGGGUGCUAUUCCAGUUACGGCAACAACAAGUAUCGUUGGUGUUGCUGACGCCUCUUUGGCAGGGCCAAGCCUGGUUCCCAGAAUUGCUGGAGCUGUCAUGUCGGGACCCGCUUCUUCUCCCGUCCCUGCAAAUGCUCCUGUCGGAUCCAUGAGGCAACCAUCAUCCCUCGUACUGGAAGGCCAUCUCCACUUGGUGGCUUGGACUCUUUCUGGGGUACCUGGAAUGUCAAUGAGCUAUCGGGAUCAGCUAGAAACCUCCUCUGGGACUCAUGGGCCCCCUGGAACGAGGAGAUGCUAUCUGUCCGCCUGGAACGUUUGUCGUUGGUGCGUGGAACGGAGUAGCGAUCCCUUUACAGCACCUAUAUCCAGCGUACUGAAUUUCCUUUCUCACCUCUUCGACCAAGUCCAACUCCACUGCCCAUUUUUUCGAGAGGCUCCUAAGCUCUGUGUGGUUUCUACCCUGUCUCGCUAUGUGACAGUUACUACCCCGCUUCGAAGUUCCCAAUCGGGACAACUGUUGAUAUCUUACGUACGUCCACAUAAACCGGUUUCGGACGUUACUUUGGCUUGCUGGAUCAGGUGGCUAUUGUUGUUGGCUCGAGAGAGGACACCUUCCGACAGUUUUACUUCAGACCGACGGAACAUGUAUCGUUUGCCCUACUAGCUGAGCGUUGAAACAGCAAAUAUGAAGCCUCCUGUCAUGUUAUAAAAUUAUAGAUUAUGCUAGCUUUAGUGUACCUAUAAUCUUAAUUUUAUUAAUGACAGGAGGCGAAUAUUUCCCACCCUUUUUGUUCCCGACCCUUGUUGUAUUUUUUAUCUUGUAUGUUGAGUAUUAAUAAAGAGUUAUGUCUCUGGUCAGUAUUCCUUGUGAUUAUUUACCUUCUGUAUUUUUCAUUUGCCUAGGGCGGGGAUCUGUAGACUAAUUUGCACUGGGUGGCUGCAUGUUUUUUAUACGCACAUUUCGUUGGCUAAUCACAAUUUUUUAUUCUGUUUCUCUCGUUUCAGUGUAAAGUUCUCAGGAUGGGAUCACGUUCAGGUCUUCAAUUCGGUUGAAGAAUCCUAUGAGAGUCGUUAUUUCUGAUGGAGAUGGACUGUUACUGUUAUUUUAUGUUUUUUCUGACUGUGUUUGUUAUCGCAGCUUGAAAGAGGAAAUGUAAUGUUGAGAAGGGAGUUAUAUAGUCUCCUUGCUGUUUUCUGAUUGGUUGUUUACUCUCUAUGUUUUUUUGCUGCUGUGGAGUUCUAGUAAAGAGAGACUUAAGCAAAU
rnacentral:lncRNA from 1 species